rnacentral:rRNA from 1 species
CAGUAGCCGCGGGAAUACGAAGGGGGCUAGCGUUGUUCGGAUUUACUGGGCGUAAAGCGCACGUAGGCGGACUUUUAAGUCAGGGGUGAAAUCCCGGGGCUCAACCCCGGAACUGCCUUUGAUACUGGAGGUCUUGAGUAUGGUAGAGGUGAGUGGAAUUCCGAGUGUAGAGGUGAAAUUCGUAGAUAUUCGGAGGAACACCAGUGGCGAAGGCGGCUCACUGGACCAUUACUGACGCUGAGGUGCGAAAGCGUGGGGAGCAAACAGGAUUAGAUACCCGCGUAGUCCCUGUCUCUUAUAC